AGUGGCGACCGGGUGAGUAACACGUGACUAACCUACCCUCGAGUGUGGAAUAACAUCGGGAAACCGGUGCUAAUACCGCAUAACAUCGCAAGAUCAAAGGAGCAAUCCGCUUGAGGAGGGGGUCGCGGCUGAUUAGCUAGUUGGCGGGGUAACGGCCCACCAAGGCGAAGAUCGGUAGCCGGCCUGAGAGGGCGCACGGCCACACUGGAACUGAAACACGGUCCAGACUCCUACGGGAGGCAGCAGUGGGGAAUUUUGCGCAAUGGGGGAAACCCUGACUGAGCAACGCCGCGUGGAGGAUGAAGCCCCUUGGGGCGUAAACUCCUUUCGACCAAGACGAUAAUGACGGUACUGGUGGAAGAAGCACCGGCUAACUCUGUGCCACCAGCCGCGGUAAUACAGAGGGUGCAAGCGUUGUUCGGAAUUAUUGGGCGUAAAGGGUGCGUAGGCGGCGCGGUAAGUCACCUGUAAAAUCCCCGGGCUUAACUCGGGGCCUGCAGGCGA
rnacentral:rRNA from 1 species